AUCUCUCGGUCCCCAUCUCUAACCUAAGAAACCAACUCCAUGGAAAUGGAGAAAUCAGUAACCCUAGAUGCUAUUUCAACCAUCUAAUAAACCCUUCUCUUUAUUCUUCUUCUUAAAUCCCUCAACCCACUAUUCGAGUUGUAGAUCUCAAAUCUGCUGGGAACAAAUUCAAUCCAUGUUUCUUUUUUUGCUUUCAUUUUCAGGAGUUUUAUCAAAAUCUCUAACUAGAUCUAAAAAAAAUUAUCAUCUCAUGUAUGAUUACUGCUAAAUCUGUUGGUUUUAGGGUUUUUAGAACUUGAGAAUCUUGAGAUGUUCUUUGGAGAUUUAGAUUGGUUGAAGUCCUCUUCAAUCUGGGAAGUAAAAGUCAUUACUCACACCAAGAAUCGAUUUCUAUGGUUGAUACAGAAACUUGGUUACUUUUUAUUUUCAUCGCACAAUCGAUUGUUUUUAGCUCACUGGUUCUAUCCCCUAUUUAGUUUUUUUUUAAUUGAAUGUGAAUUGUUUUAAUUGAAUCUGUUUAGUUGUUUGCAUUUUGUUUUCUAUGAUUGCGGUUGGGUAAUUCGUAGAUGCCAUUGCAAGAAACUGAAAGUGGCCUUUUGAUAAGAGCCGUUGCUGGAUCAAUUUCAGGAUAUGUAAUAUUUGAUUCAGUCAUAUGUAUUGAUGGCCUUAUAAGUGGAAGACUAGUGAGGGAAAGAAUUUCUCCAGCCAUAUGGAUCCUCCUUAUAAAUUAAGGACUCAUAUGUUUGUGUGGUACUGGAUGUAGUGUUGUUGAACGCGUUGCUCAAUAUUUGCUCUAUGCUUUUCUUAUAAAGAUGCUAGGAGUUGAACAUCCAGGUGCUAAGGGUUUAAGCAGGUUGUUCUGCGUAUAAGUGAUGUGGCUGAAGAUCUCACGAAGAUGAGUGGAACAAAGAGCAAGGUAGUGUACGGUUUAAAGAGGUGGUCGGAGGGUUCAUGUAUUUCUGUUUCAUGGAGCAUUGGAGAUAUCCAGUUGGACUUGUCGACGAACAACAAAUGCUGCUUAAUAUUCCAACUAACCGAAGAAGUUUCCAGAUUUAUUUCCACCACAAUAAUAUUUUAUUUUCCUCUUUUAUUUCUUAAUGAAAACCGAAGCACUUCAACAAGCUUCGUCUCUAAACUGUUAAAUUGGCCUUCAAAUACUAAUUGGGAUUAGACAAGGUUUUCCAAUAGCUAUAUGGGGGAAAUCCUCUAGUUUUCUUAAGGGGUAACUAUUAUAUUAUGUAGAGUUGGUAUAGGAAGUCUAUGUUUUCUAUUUUAUUCCUCUCUUCAAACUGUAAUGAAGAGAUAUUCUUGGGUCGUGAAUUUUGAUUGGUGUUUCUUCAGGUCCUGUAUGCUCAUGUACUGUCUGCUCUUGUACUGUCUGUUGUUGGUGAGCGUUAUUACAAAGUUACUGCUGAAGCAUUCAGAGUGUGCGGGGAGAUUGUUCGAGUGGUGCGACCUAACGUUGCGGGUGUUGGUUUUGAUUACAAGCCAUACAUUCAUCCAAUCUAUAAUACAAUUUUAACACGUCUAGCUAACCAAGAUCAAGAUCAGGAAGUUAAGGAGUGUGCUAUUUCUUGCAUGGGCCUCGUCCUCGUCAUUUCAACAUUUGAUGAUAACCUCCAAGCAUAAUUACAUGUAUGCCUUCCUGUUCUUGUUGAUCGGAUGAGUAAUGAGAUAACUAGCUGGAAGGCACCAUAGAGUUAGGAUAUCUACUGUCUACUUGAUGUGUUUAAGCAGUUCAAGGUUAUGAGUCUUCAAAUUCUGUAUGAAAGGACCAAGAAGUUCUAGUUUGUGGGUGGCUGGAGUUCACGGUUCUGAAUUAGGAUGUUGUUAGAUCAAAUUUUCUGAAAUUAUCCAAGUUAUGUGGAUCAGUUUCUCAAAUCUUUCAGGUUGGAACAAAUGUUGUUACACGAGCUGAUGGAAGAGUAGCUUUAGGAACUCGAGGAAGGCGUGGCUUACCUGAUGGAACUGAACUGGCAUAUCACAUGAAUGGUCAAGAAAGUUAUAGAAAAUAUCCUAAUAUCAAUUAAUAACUCGCUUUCUCAAGGACCAGAUACUGCAUGACAAGUUCUUAAUAAAAAUCCUUAAAGAAAAUAAAAUGGGGUGUUUGAACCCUUUGGUGCUGUUGAGAUGGUGACCAGGAUAAUGGAUAGCUCAAAGGGUUGGGUUUUGUCCAGUUUGUUAGAGCCGCUUCAGAGUUUGAACGGGCUAUUAGACAUUGCAGGGAGGAUCAUCAAAGGGAGAAGUUUGACCACUUGGUUCUGCAGGGAAACCGUUGCGAGGUUCUACAAUGGUUGGUAGGCAUACAACUAUUUCACUAGCAAGAUGCUUCUAAAAAACUUGCUGAGCCUGGACUUAUCUUAACAGACUCUUUACUAGGAUUAAUUUUGGAUAUCAGUCCAAAUUGAAAUUGUCAAAUUGUUUGGGUGUACAGGUACUCGAUUGUUAAGUGUGGGCUCAGUUCAUUAUUUGGGAGGAAAGGCUGCUGGCACUGAAGGGGUAUGAGUAACCAUCCCAUGAGAUUUUUUCAUCUUCGUUUAGUUCUAAGAAAAAUUGCAGGGGUAAUUUCAGUUAUUCUUUAUUUUUGGUUGGUAUGCCAUUAAUAAGAGGUGGGGAUUGAGCUGAAAAUGAUAAAAUAGGCAAGCAAAUUUGUGUGUAAUGCCGAGAAAGCUUUGGAACUCAUUUGUUAACCAUGGAGCUUACUAUUGAAGCCUAGAAUCCAUCUCUCAUCAAAGUGUAUGGGGUUAGUUCAACACCAUGUAGUUUAUCAUUUUGCUGGUUUGCACUUUUCUUUAAGACACUUUGAACUUAUUUGCUCUUCUCUUUAAGAAACCUUGAACUUACUAGGAUUUGUAUCGGUGUGAAUUCAGAAUUUGAAUCCGUAUGAUUUUGAAUCUAAGUGUAAUUCAGUUAUAAAUUGUGUAAUGAAUACAUUGACUGAUUAAUGGA